AUUCAUGUGAAAAUUAAGAUUAGAGCCGCAGAAUCUGAGUUUAGUGUCUUAUUAAUCUUUAAUCAAUUAUUUUGUGCUGGAAGGGGAGAAAAAUUUGUAUUGGAGGUGUUUGAUCCGGCGAACUAUGUUAAGAAUGGGACUACUUUCUACUUUCCUUUGAUUCUGUAGGCUGUAACUGAAGAAUAAACAGGAAGGGAAUGAUGCUGCUACUGUUGCAAAGGAGAAACACUCAGCAAAGGAAAAAAAUCAUAAAAGGAAAAAGGGCUUUUCCAUGGGAGAUGUAUGAUGGAGACCAUAGUAAUAGAAGAUUUAAGGAAGAUUUUGGUUUCAUAUAUUAUAAGGCAGUGUUACAAGUAAGAAUAAGCAAGGAACUGCAGAUGAAUUAGAGGAUAGAAGGAG